GUUGUCGGGAAUUAUUGGGCGUAAAGAGCUAGUAGCCGGCUUGUCACGUCGGUUGUGAAAGCCCGGGGCUUAACCCCGGGGUCUGCAGUCGAUACGGGCAGGCUAGACUUCGGUAGGGGAGAUCGGAAUUCCUGGUGUAGCGGUGAAAUGCGCAGAUAUCAGGAGGAACACCGGUGGCGAAGGCGGAUCUCUGGGCCGAUACUGACGUUGAGGAGCGAAAGCGUGGGGAGCGAACAGGAUUAGAUACCCUGGUAGUCCACGCCGUAAACGGUGGGCACUAGGUGUGGGCGACAUUCCACGUCGUCCGUGCCGCAGCUACCGCAUUAAGUGCCCCGCCUGGGGAGUACGGCCGCAAGGCUAAAACUCAAAGGAAUUGACGGGGGCCCGCACAAGCGGCGGAGCAUGUGGCUUAAUUCGACGCAACGCGCAGAACGGUACCAAGGCUCGACAUACACCGGAAACGUCCAGAGAAGGGCUCCCCCUUGUGGUCGGUGUACAGGUGGUGCAUGGCUGUCGUCAGCUCGUGUCGUGAGAUUUUGGGUUAAGUCCCGCAACGAGCGCAACCCUUCUCCCGUGGUCCCAGCAAGCCGUUCGGGGGGUUGGGGGCUCACGGGAGACCGCCGGGGUCAACUCGGAGGAAGGUGGGGACGAAGUCAAGUCAUCAUGCCCCUUAUGUCUUGGGCGGCACCCGUGCUACAAUGGCCGGUACAAUAGCUAGGAUACCGCGAGGUGGAGCGAAUCUCAAAAAACCGGUUUCAGUUCGGACGGGGGUCCGCAACUGAACCCCAUGUACUCGGAAUCGCUAGUAAGGGCAGAUCAGCAGGGGGGCAAAGAAAACGAUUCCGCCCGUUGUUCCCCCCGCCAAGCGAGGCACGAGAGUGGGGGCAUCCCAACCCGCGGUGCCGUCGCUAACGCAUAAGCAAUCCGCCUGCUACCGUGCCGGAGCACGC
rnacentral:rRNA from 1 species